AUUGAACGCUGGCGGCAGGCCUAACACAUGCAAGUCGAACGGCGCGGCGGACGGGUGAGUAAUGGCUAGGAAUCUGCCUGGUAGUGGGGGAUAACGUCCGGAAACGGGAACUAAUACCGCAUACUCUCGGAAGGGCCUAUGUGGGAUUAGCUAGUUGGUGGGGUAAAGGCUUACGAAGGCGACGAUCCGUAGCUGGUCUGAGAGGAUGAUCAGUCACACUGGAACUGAGACACGGUCCAGACUCCUACGGGAGGCAGAAGUGGGGAAUAUUGGACAAUGGGCGAAACCCUGAUCCAGCCAUGCCGCGUGUGUGAAGAAGGUCUUCGGAUUGUAAAGCACUUUGAGCGGGGAGGCGUUACCAGCAGAAUAAGCACCGGCUAACUUCGUGCCAGCAGCCGCGGUAAUAC
rnacentral:rRNA from 1 species